GCCAAUAUAGCUCAGUUGGCAGAGCAGCAGUUUCGUAAACUGCAGGUCAAGGGUUCGAACCCCUUUAUUGGCUCCA
rnacentral:tRNA from 1 species